GCCUGUGUAGCUCAGUCAGCAGAGCGCCACUUUCGUAAAGUGGAAGUCGGGGGUGCAAAUCCCUCCACAGGCU
rnacentral:tRNA from 1 species